rnacentral:misc_RNA from 1 species
AAGUCGUAACAAGGUUUCCGUAGGUGAACCUGCGGAAGGAUCAUUACUGAGUGAGGGCCCUCUGGGUCCAACCUCCCACCCGUGUUUAUUGUACCUUGUUGCUUCGGUGAGCCCGCCUCACGGCCGCCGGGGGGCUUCUGCCCCCGGGCCCGCGCCCACCGAAGACACCAUUGAACUCUGUCUGAAGAUUGCAGUCUGAGCAUAAACUAAAUAAGUUAAAACUUUCAACAACGGAUCUCUUGGUUCCG